AGCAGUGGGGAAUUUUGGACAAUGGGCGCAAGCCUGAUCCAGCAAUGCCGCGUGAGUGAAGAAGGCCUUCGGGUUGUAAAGCUCUUUUGUCAGGGAAGAAACGGUGAGGGCUAAUAUCUCUUGCUAAUGACGGUACCUGAAGAAUAAGCACCGGCUAACUACGUGCCAGCAGCCGCGGUAAUACGUAGGGUGCAAGCGUUAAUCGGAAUUACUGGGCGUAAAGCGUGCGCAGGCGGUUUUGUAAGUUUGUCGUGAAAGCCCCGGGCUCAACCUGGGAAUUGCGAUGAAGACUGCAAGGCUUGAAUCUGGCAGAGGGGGGUAGAAUUCCACGUGUAGCAGUGAAAUGCGUAGAGAUGUGGAGGAACACCGAUGGCGAAGCAGCCCCCUGGGUCAAGAUUGACGCUCAUG
rnacentral:rRNA from 1 species